UACGUAGGGUGCAGGCGUUACUCGGAAUUACUGGGCGUAAAGCGUGCGCAGGCGGCUCCUUAAGUCAGAUGUGAAAUCCCCGGGCUUAACCUGGGAACUGCGUUUGAAACUGAGGAGCUAGAGUGUGGAAGAGGGGGGUGGAAUUCCAGGUGUAGCAGUGAAAUGCGUAGAGAUCUGGAGGAACACCGAUGGCGAAGGCAGCCCCCUGGGCUAACACUGACGCUCAUGCACGAAAGCGUGGGGAGCAAACAGG
rnacentral:rRNA from 1 species